CAGCCGCCGCGGUAACACCAGCCCCUCGAGUGGUGGGGAUGAUUAUUUGGCCUAAAGCGUCCGUAGCCGGCCGUGCAAGUCUUCCGUUAAAUCCAGCGUCUCAAGCGUUGGACCGCGGGAGAUACUACACGGCUAGAGAGUGGGAGAGGUCAGCGGUAUUCUGGGGGUAGGGGCGAAAUCCUUUGAUCCCCGGAGGACCACCAGUGGCGAAGGCUGCUUACUAGAACACGUCUGACGGUCAGGGACGAAAGCUGGGGUAGCGAACCGGAUUAGAUACCCGGGUAGUCCCAGCCGUAAACGAUGCAUGCUAGGUGUUGGGUUGGCCAUGAGCCGCCUCAGUGCCGCAGGGAAGCCGUUAAGCAUGCCGCCUGGGAAGUACGAUCGCAAGGUUGAAACUUAAAGGAAUUGGCGGGGGAGCAC
rnacentral:rRNA from 2 species